rnacentral:rRNA from 1 species
GACGAACGCUGGCGGCGUGCUUAACACAUGCAAGUCGAACGGAAAGGCCCCUUUGGGGGUCCUCGAGUGGCGAACGGGUGAGUAACACGUGAGUAACCUGCCCUUGACUUCGGGAUAACUUCAGGAAACUGGGGCUAAUACCGGAUAGGAAUCCUUGCUGCAUGGUGGGGGUUGGAAAGCUUCGGCGGUUUUGGAUGGACUCGCGGCUUAUCAGCUUGUUGGUGGGGUAGUGGCUUACCAAGGCUUUGACGGGUAGCCGGCCUGAGAGGGCGACCGGCCACAUUGGGACUGAGAUACGGCCCAGACUCCUACGGGAGGCAGCAGUGGGGAAUAUUGCACAAUGGGCGGAAGCCUGAUGCAGCAACGCCGCGUGCGGGAUGACGGCCUUCGGGUUGUAAACCGCUUUCAGCAGGGGCGAGGCUUGUGGUGACGGUACCUGCAGAAGAAGCACCGGCUAACUACGUG